UGGGGAAUAUUGCACAAUGGGCGAAAGCCUGAUGCAGCAACGCCGCGUGAGCGAUGAAGGCCUUCGGGUCGUAAAGCUCUGUCCUCAAGGAAGAUAAUGACGGUACUUGAGGAGGAAGCCCCGGCUAACUACGUGCCAGCAGCCGCGGUAAUACGUAGGGGGCUAGCGUUAUCCGGAAUUACUGGGCGUAAAGGGUGCGUAGGUGGUUUCUUAAGUCAGAGGUGAAAGGCUACGGCUCAACCGUAGUAAGCCUUUGAAACUGGGAGACUUGAGUGCAGGAGAGGAGAGUGGAAUUCCUAGUGUAGCGGUGAAAUGCGUAGAUAUUAGGAGGAACACCAGUUGCGAAGGCGGCUCUCUGGACUGUAACUGACACUGAGGCACGAAAGCGUGGGGAGCAAACAGG
rnacentral:rRNA from 1 species